UACGUAGGGUCCGAGCGUUGUCCGGAUUUAUUGGGCGUAAAGAGCUCGUAGGCGGUUCCGUAAGUCAGAUGUGAAAACUCAGGGCUCAACCCGGAGACGCCAUCUGAUACUGCGGUGACUGGAGUCUGGUAGGGGAACACGGAAUUCCUGGUGUAGCGGUGAAAUGCGCAGAUAUCAGGAGGAACACCGAUGGCGAAGGCAGCUUGCUGGGACGGUACUGACGCUGAGGCGCGAAAGCGUGGGGAGCAAACAGG
rnacentral:rRNA from 1 species